AUGUGGGCUCUGCCCUCCUGUCCCCCUGCACCUCCAGCAAGCCCCUUCAAUCCAACCAAGCCUCUCCAUCUGGGUAAGGCCAUCCUGGGGUUUAAGCAAAAGGUGGACACACAGCAGCUGCUCGCAGGCCUCAGCAGAGCAUGGCCCACCUUGCCCAUCGGGCCCCUGGGGAUGCGUCUUCCCCCUAUCCCCCAGGGCAGGGGCUACAGGGUUGGCAAUGCUCCCUUCCCUCUCCCAGCCCCCAACUAUUGGCAGGGCCCUGGCCCAAGGACCCCUGGAUUCCUGCAUGUGGGCAUACCUCAGCCCCUGGCAGGACACCCCGAGGCCCUCACUGGCUCUGUUGCUCACCUGCUGUGUGACCUCAGAGGAACCCUGCCCCUCUUUGAGCCCCUGUCCUCACCUGGGAAAUGGGUGAUAAAGGCAGGUGUCCCCGGCAGGGAAUGGAGGUUGGUGCUGGUGGUCAGUGUCCCCGUGACAAUGACCUAUUGGCUGUGCAGAAGGUGGGCCUCAUCUUCCAAACUCAAGGAGUCCUCCACGAGCACAACCCUCAGCCACCAAGGUCCCCCAAACUCCCAUAGUUCCCGAAUCUCUGGCCCGGUGCUGAGACAAGAGCCCUGGGGCUCGAGGCCUCUCAGGCAGGGUACGGUGAGGGCCCCUCGGAGGAAAGGCUUCCUCCUGCCCAUCCUGGCUGGGCGCUGUGCUGGGCUGCAGGAGCCUGAGUUGGGGUGAAAAGACUUGAGUCAGAUCCAAGGUCAACUGCCCAGCUCAGCCCAGGACUCCAGCCCCUCGCGACAAGAUGGGCCAGGCCCCUCCCCGGAGUCUGCUCAUCGAGACUCCUGUGGGUCCCUGGGCAGGCACUAGCUGGGUCCCACCUUCAGCCUGGGGCCUCCUUCCAGCCUCCUCCCCGGUGCAGCCCAGCUAGAGCUCGUUCAUCCUCUGGGGGCUCCCGCCUCCCCCUUCCCUGGCCCCGCACUGGGUAAGGGCGCAUCUCCUAGAAGCAGCCCCCCCAGGGUCUGCUGAGAUUAGGGGGCCUGGAGGUGACUCCAGGGACACCCUGCCCCUGUGCCCCAGACCGGUGUCCCCCCCACUGCGGGUGAUGAAUGUCGAGGAGUUGCCAUUAUAAUUAGCGUGGAAUGUGCCGCCUCUGCCAGGGAGGAAAAUCCCAUCUUGGAAAUACACCUCGGAUGCAAGUUCAAUUUUACCCACGGGGCCAUAAAACCCUUUUUCCAAUCACCUGGUGCUGUUGGCUGCCGGCACCAUUAAUCCUGCAAAUGUUAUUUAGAGCCAAGACAUCACUUGGGGAAAAAAUCAGGUCCCGCAUUCCACGAGGAACCCCUCUCUAUUCCCCGCAGAGGCCUCAGCAGAUGGAUGAGACUGCUCAGGCACCAGGCAGGGAGGCGAAGGGAUGCAGCCACCCUCACAGCCACCCUCGUGGCCCAGGAGUCACGCCUCACUUCAUCAACCCUCAUCCCAAAACACAGACCCUCCCUACCAGAGAUGGGCCCAUCGGCAGAUGGGAAGACUGAGGCCAGAGGGCUGGAGGAGCUGGAGGGCUAGAGGAACUGGUGAGCCAGGCGGCUCAGCUCCACUUGCCCUGCCUGUCCCCAGCAGACACUGCCCUCCUUUUCGUCCCCAAAGCCCCCACCCAACCCAGAUCCUCUCCUGAGAUCAGUGUCAUCCCACGGUCUUUUAUAAAAAAUCGUUUCCUUGAUUACCGAGGGUAACAAUGAAAACACGUAAUUGAAUCUCCAAGAAAUUACCAUUUUUAUAACUUACGCCCAGUUCCCGAGAUAAAUUAAACGUUUAUCACUCACUGCACAUCAGCGAGGGGUUGAUACGGCCCUUUAUCAUCGAUGCGGGACUUAUUAAGAAGAAUGCCUCACACCGCCUCCCGGAAGGCUCCUGGCACCUCCAGCUCACGGCCCUGAGUGGGCAGAGCUGUCUGGCUGGAGGUGCCGGGUGGGUGGCCGGGUGGGCCCCUCCUGAUCACUCCUGGCCCAGUUGCUGGCUAGCUGGUUGGUGGUGUGGGUGGUGGGUGGGAGGGCUGGUCAGGGUCUUUUCUUUGGGAGCCCAGGCUCCCAAGAAAAUCAGGCCUGCGAGCAGUCCGGCAGCGACAGCUUUCUGAGCAGUGCAACCCUGGGAGCCAGAGUGGGGUAAAGACAGGGAAGCCAGGCAGGAGGAGGAAAGCGGAGACAGCAUAGAGGGAGGAGGAUUUACCCACCUGUCCCCAACCUGCUGGCCAAAGCUGAUCCCACCCAACUGCGCCGGUGCCCAGAGAACCCAUGACAUUGCCAGGUCAGGCAGCAGAGCAGCUCUGAGGGAGGCAAGGCUCCGCUGAGGUGAAGCACCGCUUCCCACAGGGUCCGGGAGCAGGUGGGGGCAGCAGGGCGGCCACACCCACCCAAGGAGCUGCUGGGUUGGUCAGCAGAGGGGCGGGGAGGUGGGGUCAGCUGCUGGGAUGGGCUGUCCAUCUGCGAGCGGCUGGUAGUGGUUUUCCUGCUGGCAGUUGCUAGCGGCUGGGUUCUCGUGGCUCUCUGGCUGGCUGGGGGCCAUUUGGGUUGGGGAGAAGCCCAAGCCUCCAGCUGUGGAUUGAGUUUCCUGAAAAUGUUUGCAGGCUGCACUCAGCAGAGCCAACUUCAAGCAAA
ensembl:lncRNA